GCGUUUGUAGUCCAACGGCCAGGAUAAUUACCUUCCAAGCAAUGGACCCGUGUCCGACUCCCGGCAAACGCA
rfam:Physcomitrella patens subsp. patens PHYPAscaffold_13 genomic scaffold, whole genome shotgun sequence.